UUUCAAUCCCAGUCUUUUGUGCCUUCCUGUC
rnacentral:piRNA from 1 species